rnacentral:rRNA from 1 species
CAGUAGCCGCGGUAAUACGUAGGGUGCAAGCGUUAAUCGGAAUUACUGGGCGUAAGGCGUGCGCAGGCGGUUGUGUAAGACAGGUGUGAAAUCCCCGGGCUUAACCUGGGAACUGCGCUUGUGACUGCACAGCUAGAGUAUGGCAGAGGGGGGUGGAAUUCCACGUGUAGCAGUGAAAUGCGUAGAGAUGUGGAGGAACACCGAUGGCGAAGGCAGCCCCCUGGGCCAAUACUGACGCUCAUGCACGAAAGCGUGGGGAGCAAACAGGAUUAGAUACCCCCGUAGUCCCUGUCUCUUAUAC